rnacentral:lncRNA from 1 species
AAGACGUGAAAUACAAGAAUUCCGAAGUUGAAGCAUCUUGGCCAUUGGGAUGUGCCAUUGAUGUUACGUCAUCUUUGACAUCGAAGGGAUUAAUUGAGAAAAUAUGAGUCCAUUUCUGAUAAGAUAAUUAUCUGUGUUAUGGACAAGUACUUGUCUUAAUAAUAAUGAUUUCAAAUUUGCACGAACGUUACUCUUCCUUUUCUUUUACUAAGCACGUUACUUGUGUUGGAUCAAACAUAGUCUAAAAACAGCCAAACAAGCAAAAAAGGGAAAGUGAUGCUCUCUAAGUAGGGGUGGCAAUUGAGCCGAGCGAUUUGCCUACCACAAGUCCUAAGCUCAUGGCUCUUGAUAAACAGUGACAGAAACGAUCAUUUUUUUUUAAAAAGUGACCGUUUUGAUCACUGUUAUUACUUCAGUGACCGUCCUUUCGCAAACUGUCAUUGAAGUUGCAAAGUGGUUGUUUUGGCCAUUUUCCCCCCCUUUCAUUCUUUUUUUUUUUAAUCUAUAAAUAUCCCAAUUCAUUUUUCAAUUUUUUCACACAACAUUCCAAUGACAAUUCUCACAGUCGUCCUUCCACACAAUCUACUACUACAUUCCCCCCUCGGAGCAUAGUCCAAUGGUACAAAUGAUAGGAGUGAUGUUAUUUCACGCCUUGUUGGCAGUCGCAGUGUGGGGGUUCGAUUCCUGAGACAUGGAAUUAGACUCCUUGUAGACGCAGUGUAUAGGCAGCUUUUGUUCCCUAGCCUGUUUGGGUACAUCCCGCGAUUUAUCUCCUUCAUAAAGUUCUAGAAGCGGGGCGGUGGGAGACCUUAAAAGUUGGGGUUCAACCUUUUUUUUUUUUUUACUAUUGCAUUCAUUUCUAAUUUUUUACCUUCAAUAUCAUUAUAUCAAUUACAAUUAUAAAUUUACUACACUAAAAAUUUACUUAUACUUAUUAUACACUAACACUAUACAUUUCAUCACAAAUUCAAAAUUUAUAAAUGGAUUCACUCAUUUGUUGAGGACUUGUUUGAUGGUGUUUGAGACGAAUCGCUUAUGACACCACAAAAUCAAUUUCGAAAUGAAUUUGUCGGUCUCAACGAAGUACUAAUUCUCGAAAAUAUUCCUGAUUUCGAUGCUUAUAAAAGUAGUAAUCCAAUUGAUUUGGAUAACGUUGAUGUUGAAGCGGAACAUGAAUAAGAUAUUCCCGAUACAAGAGGAAAGCGAAAGGGAAAAAAGACAAAAUGUUGGGAUCACUUUAAAUUAAUUUCUCACUUUAAAUUAAUUCCAACAGGUAGUGUCAUCGAUGGAGUUGCAGAGUCCAAAACAAUAUGUAAAUACUAUCAACAAUGAUUGGCAUGGCAAAAAGGCAUUGGUAUCAUCCACCUAAACUGCCACUACAAAGCAUGUAAAGCCAAACAUGGGUGUUUUGCUGUCGGUCAAAUAUAACUGCAAUUUGGUAGUCUAAUUGUUGGUUCUAUUUUUACAACACUUUGCACGUUGAUGUAUUCAAAAAAGAAAGCUUGAACGAAAAUGGUGAAGUUUGUUGCAGGUGUUGAGUUGCCUCUAGCAAUAGCAAACGACCAAUAUCUCAUUUCCUACGUGAAAGAAUAUCUUCAAUCGAAGUACGUCGAGAUAAGUAGAAACACUCCUCGUUCCGAUACAAUAAAAUAUUUCCUUAAUACCAAAAACAAUUGAUUACCGAUUUGAAAAAAUAUAGGAGUGUUAUAUCUUUGACUUCGGAUAUAUGGGAAAUCAUUAAUAAAAGAUGUUAUAUAGUUGCAAAUACACACUACAUAGACCCAUUUUGGUGUAUGUAUAAAAAAAAUAAUUGAUUUUAAAAUUAUAGAGUUCCCUCACAACACUAACAAUAUAUAUAACGCUAUUAUGAGCAUUAUUAGAGAAUAUCACUGCGAGAGUAAAAUAUGUUUUUUUACGUUUGAUAACGCUAGUGAUAAUAAGUCAGUUGUCGAUAAAUUAUUCAGGGUUUUAUAGCACAAUUGAUGGUUAUUUAUUUCAUAUUUGUUGUAUGUAUCAUAUUUUUAAUUUAAUUAUAUAAGAUGAUUUAAAACAUAUUAAGAAUAAACUUUAAAGAAUUAUGGAUGCAGUAAUAUAUAUCACGAUUUCACCUAGUAGUAUUUGUGCAUGCAUCUUGUAUACAUUUACACAUUGCUUGUGGAUGGAUUUGGAUGAGUUGAAAUUUUUAUUAGUGCUGCCAAAGGACAUCAUUAAUUAUACGAAUACAACAUAAUUUGAUUUUGAAAUGUUUAUUAGACAGAUCUGAAUGCCUCUCAAAAUGUUGCAGUGGUUAAAGAAGUGAAGUACAAGAGUUCUGAAGUUGAAGCAUCUUGGCCAUUGGGAUGUGCCAUUGAUGUUACGUCAUCUUUGACAUCGAAGACAUUAUUUGAGAAAAUAUGAGUCAUUUGACAACAAUUGCAAGGACAAGUAUCUGUCUUAACAAUAAUGAUUUCAAAUUUGCAUGAACAUUACUCUUCAUUUUCUUUUACUAAGCACGUUACUUGUGCUGGA